rnacentral:rRNA from 1 species
AUGAUCGGCAGUUCACAUAGGGAGGUGCAUGAUGAUGACCUGCCACAGUGCUGGAAAUUCAAAUCUAUUGACGAGGUUAAGAGGUUGUUCAAGCCACUUUCAUUGCAGUUUCACAACAAAAUUGCCAUGCAUAUCCCUGCUAUGAACUACCUCAUCCACACGAGAAGCAAUAAUUGGUGCUUGGCCAUCCUCAACGGAACGCAGAUCCCUGAUGGAGACCGACGGAUCUUAAUUGGAGGUCUGAACUUGACAAACAUGUUCCAUUUUCUGAAACUAGUGCAUCAGGCAUACAUGCUUGUAAUGAUCUCCAUUUUGAUCUUUUGUUUUGCAGACGCUACAAUGCGGGAUAUGCUUGUGAUAUACGACAAUCAGCAUGGUAUGCUGGGAUGGGUUAACAACCAACAGUGCACCAGGCCUCAUCCUGCUUCGCGUCUCUGA